GGAGGGUGCAAGCGUUAUCCGGAUUUAUUGGGUUUAAAGGGUCCGUAGGCGGACUCGUAAGUCAGUGGUGAAAUCUCAUAGCUUAACUAUGAAACUGCCAUUGAUACUGCGGGUCUUGAGUAAGGUAGAGGUAGCUGGAAUAAGUAGUGUAGCGGUGAAAUGCAUAGAUAUUACUUAGAACACCAAUUGCGAAGGCAGGUUACCAUGUCUUAACUGACGCUGAUGGACGAAAGCGUGGGGAGCGAACAGGAUUAGAUACCCUGGUAGUCCACGCCGUAAACGAUGCUAACUCGUUUUUGGGUUUUCGGAUUCAGAGACUAAGCGAAAGUGAUAAGUUAGCCACCUGGGGAGUACGAACGCAAGUUUG
rnacentral:rRNA from 1 species